rnacentral:rRNA from 1 species
AGAGACAGCAGCCGCCGCGGUAAAACGUAGGUGGCAAGCGUUGUCCGGAUUUAUUGGGCGUAAAGCGAGCGCAGGCGGUUUCUUAAGUCUGAUGUGAAAGCCCCCGGCUCAACCGGGGAGGGUCAUUGGAAACUGGGAAACUUGAGUGCAGAAGAGGAGAGUGGAAUUCCAUGUGUAGCGGUGAAAUGCGUAGAUAUAUGGAGGAACACCAGUGGCGAAGGCGGCUCUCUGGUCUGUAACUGACGCUGAGGCUCGAAAGCGUGGGGAGCAAACAGGAUUAGAUACCCCCGUAGUCCCUGUCUCUUAUAC